rnacentral:rRNA from 1 species
UACGGAGGGGGCUAGCGUUGUUCGGAAUCACUGGGCGUAAAGGGUGCGUAGGCGGGUCUUUAAGUCAGGGGUGAAAUCCUGGAGCUCAACUCCAGAACUGCCUUUGAUACUGAGGAUCUUGAGUCCGGGAGAGGUGAGUGGAACUGCGAGUGUAGAGGUGAAAUUCGUAGAUAUUCGCAAGAACACCAGUGGCGAAGGCGGCUCACUGGCCCGGUACUGACGCUGAGGCACGAAAGCGUGGGGAGCAAACAGG